GGUUGUAAUCACAGUGGCCUGGCCAUCGUCGUCGUCAUCAAUUCGGCUAUCGUAUUCAUGGUGCAACUAGGAAUUUUUGAUAAUACAUAUUGCGCAUACGUUUUUCAUUACUCUUUUCAAGUGUAUAGUGUUAUUAUAUUUUAUUAUUUUGUUAAAUGUGUCGUGAGUGAGAGCUCCCUCUUCCCCCAUCGAGUUGUUGUUUUUGAGAAAUCGAAAGAGAAACGACAACGACAUUGAUUUUCUUUGAGACGUAUUGUUUUGCCAGUGCGCACUGAAAACCUGGAAGGGAUAGAAAUAAAGCUAUAAAAUGGUAAAUCAUAUGUUGUAUAGGUGAAAAUACGUAAAAAUAUAAUAAGAUUUGCAAAGGACGGGAAUCGUAAAUGAAAAGCCAGUGGGUGAUAUUUAAACGCGUUGAGAUAUGCGAGCGGAAGGAGAAGUGGAUGGGGAAAAGUAGGUGGUGAAGCCAGCCGUAUACGUCGUGAGCAGUAGUGGCGAUAGCAGAAUCAAAAGCAACGUGCUCUUGCCCUGGCAAAUACUAGCAAUUAGUGUGGUGUGUAUAUUAAUGCCUCUCGCUUCUUUUCACCAAGUAGUGUGGUGAGUUUUUGGUCACGCAAGCAACAAAAAAAAAAAACAUUAAUAACAUACUAACAGCUCAACAACAAAACGAGAACUAUCAACAUUAUUGUGUUGAUACCUUAAAACUGCAGGGGCAGUGGAGGUGGUAAAAUUAUAGAAGAGCGCGAAUAUCUUAUCGUGUCCGCCUGCUGCUCUUUGCCCUGCGCUGAGCUGUUAAUACCGGCCGUCGUUGCGUAUCUUUGCUUUACGUUUCGUCGCGUAUGAGUGUGUACUCACACGAAUUUUAACAAAUGGCAAGACACUUUUAAAACAACAACUGUUGAAUUCGUCUGAUUGGAAAAUAAAUAAUAAAUAAAUCAAAUCAAAGAGUUUGUACCUUUGGCUAUGAAUUAACAUUUGAAAAUCUAGAAAAGUUCAUCAUGCUCGACAUGAAUUGAAGAGGUGGAAAUUGUUACAGUUCUUAUUUAUGGUAAAAUCGUAAAUUAAGAAAUUUUGAUGUGUAAAGUGACUCGUUUACUAUUGCCUAAAAUAUUUUUGAAAGUUACAACAUACGCGUUUAGCCUGUAAUCAUAAUAAAACAACCGUGUCAUCUAUUGAAGUCGAACCAAUCCUUUCGGAGAAAAGUUGAAAAACUUAAAAAUCGUUUUUACUUGACAAACUGCGGUAGUUUUCGCAGGAAUUGAUGAAGUAACAACUAAAGGUGUCGAUUAUUUGGUGAAGGUAAUGCGGCAAAUUAAUUAAGGUUGUUUCUUGCAACACAGGAACCUCAUGUGGAAGGCGCGUCGUCGGCGUCGGGUCCAUUGAUUGCCAUAUACAGAGUUUUU